CCUACGUGUGUCAGCAGUGAGGAAUAUUGGUCAAUGGGCGCGAGCCUGAACCAGCCAAGUAGCGUGAAGGAUGACUGCCCUACGGGUUGUAAACUUCUUUUCUCAGGGACGAAGAAAGUGACGGUACCUGAGGAAUAAGCCACGGCUAACUACGUGCCAGCAGCCGCGGUAAUACGUAGGUGGCAAGCGUUAUCCGGAUUUACUGGGUGUAAAGGGCGUGUAGGCGGGGAAGCAAGUCAGAUGUGAAAACCACGGGCUCAACCUGUGGCCUGCAUUUGAAACUGUUUUUCUUGAGUACUGGAGAGGCAGACGGAAUGCCUAGUGUAGUGGUGAAAUGCGUAGAUAUUAGGAGGAACACCAGUGGCGAAGGCGGUCUGCUGGACAGCAACUGACGCUGAGGCGCGAAAGCGUGGGGAGCAAACAGGAUUAGAUACCCUGGUAGUC
rnacentral:rRNA from 1 species